UGAGUUUUGUUUUUAAUUUUUAUUUUUAAUUUUUUUGUAAAAUAUUUUAGUUUAAUUUUAUUUUGCUUUGAUAUUAAAAUUUUGGUUUUUGAACUGGAUUAGUACCCAGGUAAUCAAAGGUAAUUAAUACGGGAGUAAAGUUUGGUUUAAACCGAAAAAAUAUUGACUGACUUUGGAUUUUUCUUUGGAACAUGUGUUUGGAGAGCCCUCUUUCUUGGUUAAUUCUGUUGGCACAUGUAUGAUUGUUUAGUUUUUAUAUUAUUAGUAAUGCUUUUAUAAUUUAAAACAGAUAUAUACUUGGCUGAUGAAUUUAGUUUUCAUGUGUUACUAUUAUUAAUUUUUUUUGGAUAAAUUUUUAAUUAUUUUUUGAAAUUGGAAAAGAAAGUAAUUUUUUUUUAUGUGUUAAGAUUUAA
rnacentral:rRNA from 1 species